rnacentral:rRNA from 1 species
GAUGAACGCUAGCGGCAGGCUUAAUACAUGCAAGUCGAGGGGCAGCAGGACGGUAGCAAUACCGUUGCUGGCGACCGGCAAACGGGUGCGGAACACGUACGCAACCUACCCAUAACUGGGGGAUAGUCCGGGGAAACCCGGAUUAAUACCUCGUAACCUUAUGAAGUGGCAUCGCUUUAUAAGUAUAGCUCCGGCGGUUAUGGAUGGGCGUGCGCCUGAUUAGGUAGUUGGCGGGGUAACGGCCCACCAAGCCUGCGAUCAGUAACUGGUGUGAGAGCACGACCAGUCACACGGGCACUGAGACACGGGCCCGACUCCUACGGGAGGCAGCAGUAAGGAAUAUUGGUCAAUGGACGCAAGUCUGAACCAGCCAUGCCGCGUGAAGGAUGAAGGUCCUCUGGAUUGUAAACUUCUUUUAUAGGGGAAGAAAUCUGAAUAUUCCUAUUCAGUUGACGGUACCCUAGGAAUAAGCACCGGCUAACUCCGUGCCAGCAGCCGCCGUAAAAC